rnacentral:sRNA from 1 species
UAGAUAUGGAAAAAUAGAUCACAUAUAUUGAAUACUUUUUUCUCUAAGCAGUUUGCAGAAUUUCCAGUUGCACAGUACUGAUUGUACUAGCAUGAUUUACAAACUUGAUGAUCAUCUCAUAUAACCUUUCGAAAAUCUUGACUAUUUCAGCAAGGAAAUGUUUAUGAAUUUACUCUGUUAAGCAUUUGCAGAACACCCAUGGACAGAAGCUGCACGCCUGCACCAGCACCACAUAUUGCUCAAAUUUCGGCUAAUGACAGAUGGCGAAAAUGUGCAUUUUUGUGGCACUAUCAUCUCAUCAAACUCCAACAUACCAACUCUUCUAUGAGCAUGAAUACAGAUUUCUGCCUCUGUUAACUCUUCAGAAACUGAAAGCAUGUGAAAAUUCACCUAAACAUUUCCACUCGAUGCGUAUGACCAGUACUCCUUGACGAGCUCUCGGAAAAGAGAACCUUCUGUUUCCAUGAGCUUCGUAGGUUUGUCAUACUCCACCACUUUACCUGGAGGUGAAUACAGUUUAGUAUAGAACAAUUAGCCGAAAAAAUAGGCAUUGUAAGUCUUUUUUUUCCUUUUGUUGUUGGUCAGUGUUCACUGUACGACGUUAAUACAGAAAGUUAGAAGGGAUACAUUGUUGGGAAAAUGCAAAAAAGUUAAAAGCAUCACACAUCAGUGAAAAUUGGGGAAGCAGAAUUAUCCACGCAGUUUCAACUUUCAAGUAUAAUCCAUAUAUUCCAGAAUAAGUAGUGCUGAUCCAUUAGACAAUGAUCACAGGAUAAAUAUAUUUCUAAUAAGUUGGCGGUAAGAAAGACGUACCAUCGCUCAUUGCAAGGACCAUUGUGCAGUCCAUAACUGUUGGUAUACGGUGUGCAACAGUAAUAACAGUGCAAUCUUUGAACUCUGUUCUGAUUGUUUUCUGAAGGAUAGCAUCAGUUGCAUUGUCUAUAGAGGCUGUCGCCUCAUCAAGAACUAAGAUACGGCAUCGUCUCAAAAGUGCUCGUCCUAAACAGAAGAGCUGCCUUUGACCCAUGCUCCAAUUCGACCCAUCUUCCACAAC